UUCCUAGUGAUUAGAGUUUGAUCAUGGCUCAGAUUGAACGCUGGCGGCAGGCCUAACACAUGCAAGUCGAGCGGUAGCACAGAGAGCUUGCUCUCGGGUGACGAGCGGCGGACGGGUGAGUAAUGUCUGGGAAACUGCCUGAUGGAGGGGGAUAACUACUGGAAACGGUAGCUAAUACCGCAUAAUGUCGCAAGACCAAAGAGGGGGACCUUCGGGCCUCUUGCCAUCAGAUGUGCCCAGAUGGGAUUAGCUAGUAGGUGGGGUAACGGCUCACCUAGGCGACGAUCCCUAGCUGGUCUGAGAGGAUGACCAGCCACACUGGAACUGAGACACGGUCCAGACUCCUACGGGAGGCAGCAGUGGGGAAUAUUGCACAAUGGGCGCAAGCCUGAUGCAGCCAUGCCGCGUGUAUGAAGAAGGCCUUCGGGUUGUAAAGUACUUUCAGCGGGGAGGAAGGCGAUAAGGUUAAUAACCUUGUCGAUUGACGUUACCCGCAGAAGAAGCACCGGCUAACUCCGUGCCAGCAGCCGCGGUAAUACGGAGGGUGCAAGCGUUAAUCGGAAUUACUGGGCGUAAAGCGCACGCAGGCGGUCUGUCAAGUCGGAUGUGAAAUCCCCGGGCUCAACCUGGGAACUGCAUUCGAAACUGGCAGGCUAGAGUCUUGUAGAGGGGGGUAGAAUUCCAGGUGUAGCGGUGAAAUGCGUAGAGAUCUGGAGGAAUACCGGUGGCGAAGGCGGCCCCCUGGACAAAGACUGACGCUCAGGUGCGAAAGCGUGGGGAGCAAACAGGAUUAGAUACCCUGGUAGUCCACGCCGUAAACGAUGUCGACUUGGAGGUUGUGCCCUUGAGGCGUGGCUUCCGGAGCUAACGCGUUAAGUCGACCGCCUGGGGAGUACGGCCGCAAGGUUAAAACUCAAAUGAAUUGACGGGGGCCCGCACAAGCGGUGGAGCAUGUGGUUUAAUUCGAUGCAACGCGAAGAACCUUACCUACUCUUGACAUCCAGAGAACUUUCCAGAGAUGGAUUGGUGCCUUCGGGAACUCUGAGACAGGUGCUGCAUGGCUGUCGUCAGCUCGUGUUGUGAAAUGUUGGGUUAAGUCCCGCAACGAGCGCAACCCUUAUCCUUUGUUGCCAGCGGUUAGGCCGGGAACUCAAAGGAGACUGCCAGUGAUAAACUGGAGGAAGGUGGGGAUGACGUCAAGUCAUCAUGGCCCUUACGAGUAGGGCUACACACGUGCUACAAUGGCGCAUACAAAGAGAAGCGACCUCGCGAGAGCAAGCGGACCUCAUAAAGUGCGUCGUAGUCCGGAUUGGAGUCUGCAACUCGACUCCAUGAAGUCGGAAUCGCUAGUAAUCGUAGAUCAGAAUGCUACGGUGAAUACGUUCCCGGGCCUUGUAG
rnacentral:rRNA from 1 species